rnacentral:rRNA from 1 species
GAUGAACGCUAGCGGCAGGCCUAAUACAUGCAAGUCGAACGGUGUAGCAAUAGACAGUGGCGCACGGGUGCGUAACACGUAUGCAACCUACCUUACAUUGGGGGAUAGCCUUUCGAAAGGGAGAUUAAUACCGCAUAAGACAGUAACUAGGCAUCUAGUAGCUUUUAAAGAUUUAUUCAUGUAAGCUGGGCAUGCGUCCAAUUAGUUAGUUGGCGAGGUAAUGGCUUACCAAGACGAUGAUUGGUAGGGGAACUGAGAGGUCAAUCCCCCACACUGGCACUGAGAUACGGGCCAGACUCCUACGGGAGGCAGCAGUAGGGAAUAUUGGGCAAUGGGCGCAAGCCUGACCCAGCCAUGCCGCGUGCAGGAAGAAGGCGUUAUGCGUUGUAAACUGCUUUUAUACAGGAAGAAACGACCCUUGCGAGGGGCAUUGACGGUACUGUAUGAAUAAGCACCGGCUAACUCCGUGCCAGCCGCCGCCGUAAGAC